AGACACACACUGCAGAUGUCAGCCUGUGCUGGCACUCCUUGGUCCUCACUGCGGUGUCCGGACCCCAAAUCAUCAGUCCACAGGCUACAAACUGGAGCUGUGUCAGAAGGAAAACUCAACCUCUACUCUUCUGCACCAGAAAUCAGAAGCAUUAAGUUACUCUGAGCUUCAUUAAACAGUGAACACUUUGCUUCUGACAACACACAUCUAUCAACUUUAGCAAGUCCCAGGGCUAAGAAAAGUUUGAUUACAGACAUUGUAUCUAAACGGCUGAAACUGAUAAAGGAUUCAUGAAGUAUUAAGCAUAUGAUGCAAAUGAAAUUAAGCACGGAUUUAUACUCCUUAAUGAACUAAAGCUUUAAAAAGAAAUUAUAAGGUUUGCAUAUUUGCUCUCAGUACAUGUCAAUACCUUCUGAAAACAACAGAUGUCAGGCAGUAUAACAUGCAAUAAAACUGUAAUGCUGUACAGAAACAUUGCCGUCCUCCUUCUCACAUCCAGCAAUAAACAUAAAGAAUGUCAAUAUCUUAGAAAACCAGGAUCAGCUUGCCAUCCAUCAAUGGCUCACAAAAUCAUGCCAACUGUAAAAUCAUUUUGUUCUACUAAACAAGAGGGUACGGCAUUUUCUCUGCAUUAUGGUAACAAUCAUUCACUUUUCUCUUAUUAAAGGAAAACAGCUGAGAAUGUGAGUUUGAGCUUAUGUUACUGAAGUCCAACUAUCAUGUAAAUUUUGUUAAGACUGCCACAAUCAAUAAAGAAAUUACUCAUGAUAAAUAAUAUGCAGUGAGUAUUUGUUAGAGGUUGAAUCCUACAAGCAGUGAAUAUAAUAACUUACGGAAUUAAAGAGGAAUCAGAUGACAUCUGACCCUAACUACUAAACCUUUUUCUAAAGACAGCUGAAGGAUUUGUUAAACAUGAGAGGAACAGAGCUUCAUUUUGCUCCCUCCAGAGCUACAAAAAGGAGACAGGCCUUGGGAACUGCCAAAAAAUUCUCUGUUUAGGGAGAUCCGUGCCAAAAUCAAGCUCCUGUCAGUUGGCUGGGCAAAAGAAUAAUAUCACUGUGAAAAGGCAAGAGUGUGUUGCUUUUAACAACCUUUUAUCAUGUCCAGAUGGCUGGAGCAUGUGAGCUUUCUGGAUAAACCUCUUCCUGUACAUGAACACAAGGUGUUUGUACCAACUCCUUGGAGGUGGAAUUUGAUCCUUUGGUCUCCCCAAGGAUUCCACACAUGGGCAGAAACCCUUUGAGCAGCCUUUGUGGCUGUCUCAGAACUUCCUGCACCCGCAGGUGCAUCAAUCCCUCUGUGACUGUAUGAUAAUGACAAUAAACCAUCAGCUUAGUCCACCAAGAUCGUGUAAGAUGACAUCACACCACCAUACACCUGUGACAGGCUGUUAUAUGGCAGGGAUGGAGUACAGGGAGGGUGAAGUAACCAGAUACAAACAGAGAAAUAAUCUGUUUUCUGGUAUUAAUGAUGAUAUUCCUAGUGCAAAGCAAGAUAUUUUCCAUUCUGCUAAAUUAAAUAAACUAUACUGUUCUUUUAAUCCCACACCGGUUGCUGUUUUUCUUGUGUUAUUAAACAGAAAAGGAUUUGCUUGCUA